rnacentral:tRNA from 1 species
UACUUAAAAAUAAUUCUAUUUCCUUAGUAUUUUCACUACUAAACUCUAAUAUAAGCUAUUUAAGU